rnacentral:rRNA from 1 species
CCUACGGGGGGCUGCAGUGGGGAAUAUUGCACAAUGGGGGAAACCCUGCUGCAGCGACGCCGCGUGAGUGAAGAAGUAUUUCGGUAUGUAAAGCUCUAUCAGCAGGGAAGCAAAAAGACGGUACGUGACUAAGAAGCCCCGGCUAAAUAAGUGCCAGCAGCAGAGGUAAUACGUAGGGGGCAAGCGUUAUCCGGCUUUACUGGGUGUAAAGGGAGCGUAGACGGCGCGGCAAGUCUGAAGUGAAAUGCAUGGGCUUAACCCCUGAACUGCUUUGGAAACUGCCAUGCUAGAGUGCUGGAGAGGUAAGUGGAAUUCCUAGUGUAGCGGUGAAAUGCGUAGAUAUUAGGAGGAACACCAGUGGCGAAGGCGGCUUACUGGACAGUAACUGACGUUGAGGCUCGAAAGCGUGGGGAGCAAACAGGAUUAGAUACCCUAGUAGUC